UGAACAGAUAUUUUAUUGGACCUAGAGGAC
rnacentral:piRNA from 1 species